GCCGCCUGUCUCUUCUGUGUCGCGAGCGUGGAGUGGGAGUGGCCGAUGGGUUUGCCUCAUCCUAAUCCCCAAUUUCACGUCUCCCGCCUGCUCAGACCGAACGCUCACGCCGACGCACGUGUUCAAACGGGGCCUUGGUAGGGCUCGAGGAACUCACGGCUACAACACAACCCAUUGGAUGGACCUGUUGCACGGAGCUGGGAUUUACAAUACUGACCUCCAAAAAACAUGUCCGGGCAAACUCACACACACAUGGCAACACAAAAGUCUUUGUUUCUAUCUCCAGAACCGCCGGAGAGAAGUAAGACGAACCAGGGCAGUGACCACCGCCAGUGGAAGGAAGAGCUUCAGCCGUCUCCGAAUGAUUGCCAUAUUGCAUGUGUUGCCAAAGAUACAUCCCAGAAAAUGGAGCAAAUCAUUGCCAGAGCACCACAAACAUGUGGAGUGGGAGGAAGGACUGAAGGAGAAGCCAUUGCCAGAUCAUGGAGGUACCUUGAUGGCUGCCCUUUCCAUAGAACACAAUAUCACUUUUAAUAUGAUUGAGAGAUCGCUGCUCCCAUCAAGAGUGCAUUCAAUCUCUAUUUGUCAUUCAGUGAACCAGCAAACUUCUGAACUGAGCCAUAUGGCCAUAUCACCUUAUGCAACAAACCAAGCAUUCCAUCAUUCCCCAGUCACUCUUCCCGAGUUCCCGUAAAAGAAAAAAAUUUAUCCCCCAGGAUAUAAAGGAGUGCCCUUCCUAGUUCUUCAACUGGAUGAUACUAACACAAUUUUCACCAUAGAAUACUUUGACAAACCUACAUAUUCUAGUCGUUCAACCAGUGACUUUGUAGGAUUCUAGUUGUUUAAACAACCAUGAUGAUCUAUGGAAUGGAAGCUUGCAGCCAUUUGUAUGCUGAAA